GAAUGACUGCUCGGUUCGGCCAAUUUCGUAUUUUUCGAAGAAAAUGACUGAGGCCGAAGCCUGUUAUGAAAAAUCAUGACGGAUUUGAAAGCUCUCCAUAUCGCUUUUAAUAGAAGAGGCACGUGUCCACGAAUGCAGAAAUGGAUAGAUGAAUUGAUACAAUAUGAUUAUCGGGCUGAUCAUCGAUCUGAUUCGAUGUACUACUCUGAGUCGUCUGUUGAGGAGCCCUUAUGAUUGGACAUGUAGGAGCCAGAGAAAAGGAUCUAAAGGCUGGGAUGGGCAGAAGUGGGUCCAGAGGAAGCUGAUCAAACUUGGACCUCGAUCGAGACGGACCACGAAACUCUAAUAUCACCGCAGAUUCUGAGGAUUUGGAAUCGCAUGAUGGAGAUAAUAAUUCUGAUGCCUUGUGGAGCAAGAAAUCCUCAAUCACAUUUGAAGACAUGCUAAAUACUUCGGAUGAAGCUGGAAACAUGUUCAAAACUCAGGAUUGGAUCAGUAUGCAUUCUAUAGUUUUUAUUUUUUAUAUACUGCUCUACGAAUUUAUUUAAUACCAAAAAAUAGAUUUUGCUCGAGGCUUAAAUUGAUUUAUUCUCCUUGAAGAUGUAUUUGUUAAUGUUUAAAAAGUAGUCUAGUAGAGAGAUUUGACCCUCUUAUUCGGCAUCAUAUUUACAGGGUGACAAUUAGGAAAUUACCUAAACUCAUCGUUUAUAACUUUGAAAUGAGUGCCAGGAAAAAAAAAGAAAAAUACAUAUGAAUUGAGUAAAGAUGUCAUUUUUAUUUGGAAUUAGUUUCAGUUGAAUCAGAGACUUCUAAUAGAUACUUAUUGAGAUUUGAAAAAAAGUGACAAAUUGAGCCAGGAGAUAACUAUUAAUGGUAAAUAUUUUCGAAGUGAUCUCCAAUCAAAUUUACACAAUAAUCAAGCCGUUUUCGGAAACUAUGAAAAACUUGUUCAAUCUGAGAUGGAGAAAUACCAGAAAUUUCGUCUCUGAUGGCUUUUUUCAAAUCAUGUUUGGUCUCGGGUUUUUCCGCAUAAACAUUAUCUUUCAGGAAGCCCCAUAAGAAGAAGUCACACGGGUUCAAAUCGGGUGAAUAAGGGGGCCAUUCCAUACCUCCAGGCGCAAACUUUUGGUAUCCUAAUCCGAUAACGCGAUCACAAUACACUUCAUAAAUAGCUUCAAAUACGUUCUUAGUUCUAUGCGGUGUAGCACCAUCUUGCAUAAAAUAAUAGUUCUUAACCAAUCCUCUUCUUUUAGCCAAAGAAAGAAAUUUAGUUUGUAGCAUUUCUUGAUAACUGUUGCCUGUAAUGGUUCCUUCUAUGAAUUUUAAGUGUAUUGUUUUGAUUGAAAUAGCUGCCCAAACAGUCACUUUAACAGGGUGUAAAGACUUUGCCUCAGAUGAUUGCGGAUUUUCGAGACCCCAAAAAUGGUAAUUUUGUUUAUUUACAUAUCCAUUUAAAUAAAAGUGAGCUUUGUCUGUAAAGAUUAUGUGCUUGAUGUCGAUCUCAUCAUUUUCAACUUUCUGUCAUAAUUUUACAAAACUCAAUUCUUUUGUUUUUGGAAUCUUCUGUCAGCAAAUAAUAGGUCGUAAUUUUGUAAGGGUGUAACUUGAGGAAAUUCUUCAAUAUUAAUCUCAGUGUCUCUCGGUUCAGUUUCAAAGUUGCCGCUGCUUUUCGUAUCGAAUCCGUUGGAUUAUUCUUGAAAUGUUCUUCGAUCUUGGCAAUCGUAUCUUCUGUCGUAACUGAGUGUGAUGGACCGAGAAGAUCAUGACGACGGUCCUCAAGAGUAUAAUACUUGAUGAAAUUAUCAAUUACUCUGGGAGAGAAAGUAAUAAAUACUUGAA